UACGGAGGGGGCUAGCGUUGUUCGGAAUUACUGGGCGUAAAGCGCACGUAGGCGGCUUUGUAAGUUAGAGGUGAAAGCCCGGGGCUCAACUCCGGAAUUGCCUUUAAGACUGCAUCGCUCGAAUUGUGGAGAGGUAAGUGGAAUUCCGAGUGUAGAGGUGAAAUUCGUAGAUAUUCGGAAGAACACCAGUGGCGAAGGCGACUUACUGGACACAUAUUGACGCUGAGGUGCGAAAGCGUGGGGAGCAAACAGGA
rnacentral:rRNA from 1 species